rnacentral:rRNA from 1 species
AAGAACGCAGCGAAAUGCGAUACUUGGUGUGAAUUGCAGAAUCCCGUGAACCAUCGAGUCUUUGAACGCAAGUUGCGCCCGAAGCCAUUAGGCCGAGGGCACGCCUGCCUGGGUGUCACA